GACGCAGUGGCCUGAUGGUAAGGGCAUUGGACUCCAGAUUGAGCUGUCCGGGUUCGAGCACUGACCAGUGUCA